rnacentral:tRNA from 1 species
GUCCAGGGUAGCCUAGUGAACAUGGCAUCUGCCCGGUAAGCGGAACAUUGUGGGUUCGAUUCCCAUCCCUGGGCA